rnacentral:rRNA from 1 species
GAUGAACGCUGCCAGAAUGCUUAACACAUGCAAGUCAACUGUGGCGGACGGGUGAGUAACGCGUAAAGAACUUGCCUCACAGCUAGGGACACCAUUUGGAAACGAAUGCUAAUACCUGAUACUGUGAGAGAGCUUUGCGUCCCAUUAGCUCGUUGGAGAGGUAACGGCUCACCAAGGCGAUGAUGGGUAGCCGGCCUGAGAGGGUGAUCGGCCACAAGGGGACUGAGACACGGCCCUUAAUACUACGGGAGGUAGCAGUGGGGAAUAAUGGACAAUGGACCAAAGUCUGAUCCAGCAAUUCUGUGUGAAAGAUGAAGUUUUCGGAAUGUAAAGGGCUGUCAGUUGGGAAGCGGUACCAACAGAAGAAGGGACGGCUAAAUACGUGCCAGCAGCCGCGGUAAUUC